CCGCCGCAGCAGCAUCCGCUCCGAAUAGCAGCUGGAAACAGUGAGGUGGGUCGGGUCCUUGUAAAACAAACCUGCUAGUGCCGACGGACGAGUUCGUCGACGCGACAUCGUCAAAUUGCGGGAACCUCCUAACGCUUCACCUACCAAGUGCUGCUACGCGUGUGCGCGAAAGCGCCAGCACGGCCGAGCUAAUCGCCCUGGGUAUGGUAACAACGGUGAAGAUAUAUCAUGGACGAUCCGCAGCCAAGUCCUACGUCGAAGUUCAUUCGAUAUGGAACGGGUUCAGAGACUAGAUGGCGGUGGGUCUGGCGCCUCGCGCGCCUGGCUUAAGAUAUAGUCCAAUCCGGUCAGCGAAAGCGCCGG
rnacentral:ncRNA from 1 species